CCUACGGGAGGCUGCAGUCGAGAAUCAUUCACAAUGGGGGAAACCCUGAUGGUGCGACGCCGCGUGGGGGAAUGAAGGUCUUCGGAUUGUAAACCCCUGUCAUGUGGGAGCAAAUUAAAAAGAUAGUACCACAAGAGGAAGAGACGGCUAAACCUGUGCCAGCAGCCGGGGGAAUACAGAGGUCUCAAGCGGUGUUCGGAAUCACUGGGCGUAAAGCGUGCGUGGGCUGUUACGUAAGUCGUGUGUGAAAGGCGCGGGCUAAACCCGCGGAUGGCACAUGAUACUGCGAGACUAGAGUAAUGGAGGGGGAACCGGAAUUCUCGGUGUAGCAGUGAAAUGCGUAGAUAUCGAGAGGAACACUCGUGGCGAAGGCGGGUUCCUGGACAUUAACUGACGCUGAGGCACGAAGGCCAGGGGAGCGAAAGGGAUUAGAUACCCCGGUAGUC
rnacentral:rRNA from 1 species